rnacentral:lncRNA from 1 species
AUGAGUAAAGAUGACAUAUCAGCAGAUUCUCCACCAAGUAAAAAAUCACGCUUCAAGGAAACCCAGCCAGAAAAUACAGCUGUUGAAAAUGCAAAAGCGUCACCUUCUCAUGUAUCUUCUCGCCCAUCUCGAAAAACAAAAGAAGCUGCUGCCUUAUUCAUGGAAAUGCUCGGAAAAGAAUUUCGCUGUCCAAAUCAAAGCAAGAAGAAAAAAGAAGAUGACACAAUGUCUGUCGAAAGUUUUCCGGAACUUCCUUCAGCUAAAGAAAAUGAGCAAAUCGAAAAAGAAAUAAAGGAGCAAGCCAAAAAGGUAUUACUCACUUCUAAAAAACCUCUCAAGAAAAUUUCAACGUCUCCAAGCCAGAAGAAAAAAAAUGGAAACCUCAGGUCUCAGAAAGUUGAAACUCGCUCCAAGACUCUCCACAGAAAUACUUUGACAGUCGCAAAGAAGAAAAACCUUGCAAAAAUGAAGAAACAAUCAAAACCUCUAGGUUCAAAAAACAAAGGCAUGGUGAGGACCUUAUCUUUGAGAACAAAAGUAAUACCCAAGGCCAAGAAAGCAGAAAAAAAACCAGCAAAAUCUGGUUUGAGGCAACGCACUGCAAGCCUGGACGAUAUUGUCUCAGAUGCAUGUAAACUUGAACAGAACAAGAGCACUUCUAAACCGUUUAAACCUCUUCUAACAUGGCAUGAAACUUUCCUGAAGUCAGUUGCAGAAACAGUCAAAGGUGGCCGUCGAUCAACAUCAAGAAUGAGUGAAAGCACUGACUCAGUGAGUGCUAAGCAAGUGCAAAGCUCCUUCGAACUCGGAGUUGAAAAGCAAAUUAAUGAAAAAACAAUUGAAAAGACCUCAAAAAUAUUUAUCAAAGCAAAGAAAUCUGUCGGAGAAGAAGAAAAAGCAGUUUCAACUGAAAAUAAAGAAAAACUCAAAUCUUCAGCUCAGGAGGCAAAAAAGGCUAAAAGUAUAUCAAAAGGCAAAGAAACAUCUCAAGACAGCAACGACAGGCCCCAGUUAAUGGUGCCAGACAUGAAGAAGGUAUCUGAAGCGUCCAAGAGCAAAACAAAAGCCGAAGUUGAGGAAAAAGUUUCCAAGACUGAUAUAAUUUUGAAUGAACCUCGAAAAAUAGAAACAAGAAGGUCGGCUGACUCUCAUACGAAGGGUUUGAAGAACUGUCAUAUUACUUCAAAAAGUGUUAAUUUGUCUGUUCAAUCAGACAAAAAGAAACCAGUCGUAAAUAAUCCCCCCACUAAGUCCAAUGAUGCAGCUGAAAAAUCCAAAGUUGUAUCAAGAACGCAAAAAAUCAAAGAUUUAAAAGCAGACCCACUGAAGCCCAAUGAAGCUUUGAAACCUAUCACAAGAAAGCAUCCUUUAAUAAUAAGUGCUACAACCAGAACCACCCGUCUUUCUAAUUCUGCCACCAAAUUAGAUGAUUUACACGCAGGAAGUGUCGACCCAGUCAAAUCAAAAAAAUCAACUGACGAAACUUUUAAAAAGAGAGAGCUUCGAAACUCAGUGGAUUCAGAUGGACCUAUGAAAUGUAAAGUUGUUGCAGAUAAGACCCAUUGUUCUGUCGAUAAUCAGAAGAGUUUGCCCUCCACAGAAACUCCGAAGUUGAAGGAAAAUUCUGUAGCAGGCAAAAAACCUAUUUCCUCAAUUACUAAUAAAUUGAACACUUCAGCUCUAGGACAGAAAUCAAACACUUAUUCCACUGGUGGAAAAAAACCAAUUUCUAAAAUCUUAGAAGCGUUAGAAUCGUCUGAAGAUCCUCCCGUGAGGAAAAGCAAAGAGGAAAACGAAGAGUCUGAAAGCUCUGAAAACCCUUUUUUUUGGAGAUCCAAAUAAUCCAGCAAAUGAAAAUAAAUUUCAAAGGCCAGUAAAAGCACCCAACAAGUUAAUGAAGAAAAAAGUUUUGAAGUCAAAAGUCUGUCUCAAGAACAAGAGUUUAAAAAAAAGUUGUUAGAAAAUGGAAUAGCUUCGGCAAAAAAUGAAGCAAAUGUUCUGCAUGGAAUAACUUCUGAGCCUAUUGCUUUAGUAAAAUCUUCUCGUAAAAAUUCAAAAAAGAAAGGAACUCCGAAAAAGCGUCUUUCGGGAAUCCCGAAAGCAGCCUUGAAUCAAGACACGCCAAAAAGUGUUGAAAUCUGCACUUUAAAAUCGUAUGAUGAUCUGUUCAAUGAAAUGGCGGCAAAUUUUAGUUCCUGUCUGCCAGAAAAUCCUAUUCCAUCUCUUCCUAAUGAUAAAUUUCCUGUAGAUGUAGAUGUAGAUUUAGAUGAAAAUGUCAAAGGAUUUGAAGGGAAGAGGUUAUUUUCAUUUGAUCCCAUUCUUGAUUAUAAAUUGCUUGCCUUAAAUAUAAACAAAGAGAAUGAAUCUAAAAUCUCUGUUGUAAUGGAAUCUCAUGUUUUGCCACAAAACUCUGACAAAGAUUUUUUACAACUGUCCAUUUCAAAUAUGAAAGAAAAAGAUUUCAAAAAGAAGAUUGGCAUUAGCUGUUCAUCAGGCUGUGAUAUUUUAGAAAAAAAUGCCUAUCAGACCAAUGCUAUGAAAAAAGACGACAAUAGAGAAAACUUGAAGCAAGAUAUGACAGAGAAUAAAACAUUAAAAAUUGAUGUUAAAAAUAGUAGAGAGAAAUGUAUCAUUGAAAGAGGAGGUGUUCAAGAUCCCGUAGUGAAUUUGAACGUUUUUAAUCAAAAUGAUGGUGACGAUUGUAAUGAAUCAAACUCUACAAAAGAUAUGAGCCUUAAAAAAGAUUGCUCUGCUGCUCCAAAUACUUCUACCGUAGUGACUAUUCUGCACAAACCAGAUCUUUUAGAUUCAAAUGCUGUCCCAAAACUAAAAUGUAAUAAAAAUUCAGCUCAUUUGAACGAUUUGAAAAUUCAAAAUUUGAAAAAUGAAAGUGAAUUAAGGGAUGGCUUAAAAGAAAAAAUUUCAACCUUUCGCUUUCAAAGUAAAACUGAAAGCAAGCUUAAGGAUCAAGAAAGUGCAAAAGAAAACAGUGUAAUCAAAUCCCAAGAAAUAUUGCAAAUUCCCACUUCAAAUAUUUCUUUGAGAUCAAAAAGAAGUUUUGUGAAGUCGGGUGAUCAUGUUUUAAAGAGUGGAAGCACGAAGAAAAGUACAAAUUCCGUUUUUUGUAAAAAUGAUAUAGCUCAAAGCAAAAACACCACUGAACCUGUGUCAUCUCUAGUCCCAUCAACUAAAAGAAGCACUAAUAUUGUCGGCAAGUUUCAAAAGCAAUUA